rnacentral:rRNA from 1 species
GACGAACGCUGGCGGCGUGCUUAACACAUGCAAGUCGAACGCUGAAGCUCAGCUUUUGUUGGGUGGAUGAGUGGCGAACGGGUGAGUAACACGUGAGUAACCUGCCCCCUUCUUUGGGAUAACGCCCGGAAACGGGUGCUAAUACUGGAUAUUCACUGGUCUUCGCAUGGGGGUUGGUGGAAAGGGUUUUUCUGGUGGGGGAUGGGCUCGCGGCCUAUCAGCUUGUUGGUGGGGUGAUGGCCUACCAAGGCUUUGACGGGUAGCCGGCCUGAGAGGGUGACCGGUCACAUUGGGACUGAGAUACGGCCCAGACUCCUACGGGAGGCAGCAGGGGGGAAUAUUGCACAAUGGGCGCAAGCCUGAGGCAGCGACGCCGCGUGAGGGAUGGAGGCCUUCGGGUUGUGAACCUCUUUCGCUCAUGGUCAAGCCGCAACAAUGGUUGUGGUGAGGGUAGUGGGUAAAGAAGCGCCGGCUAACUACGUG